rnacentral:rRNA from 1 species
GACAGAGGGUGCAAACGUUGUUCGGAAUUACUGGGCGUAAAGAGCUCGUAGGCGGUUUGUCGCGUCGAAUGUGAAAACCCGGGGCUCAACCCCGGGCCUGCAUUCGAUACGGGCAGACUAGAGUUCGGUAGGGGAGUCUGGAAUUCCUGGUGUAGCGGUGAAAUGCGCAGAUAUCAGGAGGAACACCGGUGGCGAAGGCGGGUCUCUGGGCCGAUACUGACGCUGAGGAGCGAAAGCGUGGGGAGCGAACAGG